rnacentral:rRNA from 1 species
CAUGCGUCGCAUUAGCUAGUUGGCGGGGUAACGGCCCACCAAGGCGACGAUGCGUAGGGGUUCUGAGAGGAAGGUCCCCCACACUGGUACUGAGACACGGACCAGACUCCUACGGGAGGCAGCAGUGAGGAAUAUUGGUCAAUGGCCGCAGGGCUGAACCAGCCAAGUCGCGUGAGGGAUGACGGUCCUAUGGAUUGUAAACCUCUUUUGUCAGGGAGCAAAGGGCGCCACGUGUGGCGUUUUGCGAGUACCUGAAGAAAAAGCAUCGGCUAACUCCGUGCCAGCAGCCGCGGUAAUACGGAGGAUGCGAGCGUUAUCCGGAUUUAUUGGGUUUAAAGGGUGCGCAGGCGGAAUGUCAAGUCAGCGGUAAAAUUUCGGGGCUCAACCCCGUCGUGCCGUUGAAACUGGCGUUCUUGAGUGAGCGAGAAGUAUGCGGAAUGCGUGGUGUAGCGGUGAAAUGCAUAGAUAUCACGCAGAACUCCGAUUGCGAAGGCAGCAUACCGGCGCUCAACUGACGCUCAUGCACGAAAGCGUGGGUAUCGAACAGGAUUAGAUACCCUGGUAGUCCACGCAGU